GACGAACGCUGGCGGCGUGCUUAACACAUGCAAGUCGAACGGAAAGGCCCUGCUUUUGUGGGCUGCUCGAGUGGCGAACGGGUGAGUAACACGUGAGUAACCUGCCCUUGACUUUGGGAUAACUUCAGGAAACUGGGGCUAAUACAGGAUAGGAGCUCCUGCUGCAUGGUGGGGGGUGGAAAGUUGCGGCGGUUGGGGAUGGACGCGCGGCUUAUCAGCUUGUUGGUUGGGUAGUGGCUUACCAAGGCUUUGACGGGUAGCCGGCCUGAGAGGGUGACCGGGCACAUUGGUACUGAGAUAGGGCCCAGAGUCGUACGGGAGGCAGCAGUGGGGAGUAUUGCACAAUGGGCGGAAGCGUGAUGCAGCAACGCCGCGUGCGGGAUGACGGCCUGCGGGUUGUAAACCGCUUUCGCCUGUGACGAAGCGGGAGUGACGGUAAUGGGUAAAGAAGCACCGGCUAACUACGUG
rnacentral:rRNA from 1 species